UACGUAGGGUGCGAGCGUUGUCCGGAAUUAUUGGGCGUAAAGGGCUCGUAGGCGGUUUGUCGCGUCGGGAGUGAAAUCCACUGGCUUAACUGGUGGCUUGCUUUCGAUACGGGCAGACUGGAGGUAUGCAGGGGAGAACGGAAUUCCGUGGUGUAGCGGUGAAAUGCGCAGAUAUCAGGAGGAACACCGGUGGCGAAGGCGGGUCUCUGGGCCGAUACUGACGCUGAGGAGCGAAAGCGUGGGGAGCGAACAGG
rnacentral:rRNA from 1 species